AUUUAGCACAAAAUCACGUGUUACAGACGGUGAAACAGUUACAGCACCCCUCACCCCUCUAAAGUGCACCUUCAACAAAAGCAUAAAGUUAGGCUAUAUGACAUCACAUCAGUUUAAUUCUGCUUUUAUUUUCAUUAGACUUAUAUAAAUAUAUCCAUACUGUAUAAUAAGUGAAGUGUAAUGAAAAUAAAAUAAAAUCUCAGGAUUUAUAUAUUAUCCUACGUGAGCGCGUGAGUCGUGAUUCCUCUCGCGCCGUUCGCCCUUUCACUGUACAGCGUUUCAUUGCGGACGCCCUUUUUCCAGCAGGAACGGAACAUCGCAGUCUAAUUUCUUGUGUUUGAUGCGGCAGAAAUGUCGACAGCCAUUCGACUGUUGUAAUAAACCGAUUUGAAUCAUAUUGCGCGCAGAAUGUCGACAAGCCCUCUGCGGAUCGCGUCGCUGAAUCAUUCUCGAGGAGAAGCGUUUAGUUAUUCAGACAGACGUCAAUGGGAAGCAGUCAAAGCGGCAGAGGAGUGAUGAUCCCCCUGAAAUCGAUACAAGUGUAACUCGAUUUGAAGUCUCUAAGUGCGCCGAGAGCACGCAAAUGCGUACAACCGGUAGUCUACGUCCUCAUGACCAAUUCUGGAUAGUGAUUUGGGGAACCCUUAAGACGUAACGCACGUGUCAGACGGGUAGCUCGUAUUCUCCCUCCUGAAUGUGGGAUGAUCAAGACAGCGGAAUACACCGAGUGCCCCCGCAAAGGAGCAGAGGACAGAAAAUAACUCUCUUAGACGCUGAGUGGGAAGAGUCUUUGCGAGGCUGCAUUUACUUCCGCUUCUAUUUUCAGAGUCCCAUCUCCUCAUCAGGAGCUACUUUUUUUUGUCGUCCCUGCCUACCCUGCAUCCCUUCAUCUUUUGCUUAGUUGAUUCCUAUUUGUUUAUGAGUUUCCUCCAGCUGUGAGAAGUUGUUUUUUUCCGGACUGUACGCCGUAGACUUUGAUACUGCAUAAUUAAUUUCAAGAACAUCCUGACCUCCAAAUGUCCUACUUUUAAAAC
ensembl:lncRNA